rnacentral:misc_RNA from 1 species
GAAGGCCGUGGUCCUCAGAUCUCUACUCCUAGUGCAUGGGAACGUCCAAAAUUGAUGUAUAAGCUUGGGAUGCAAAUAAAUAGCAAUGCCAAGACAAAUCAAAAUGCUGAUUCUAAGAAUUACUCUAGCUGUGGAAAUGAAUUUUCUUCUCAACAGAGCAGCUACUUUGAGCAGGGUCAGAUUGGGAGUGCUCCUCAAGUUGGUUCCCGUAAGUUGAAUGGUGGGGAAGAGAGGA